GCUCCCGCAAGCCGGGGCAGCCCCGCGGGCCGGCGGCGGUGCUGAACGGACCAGCCAUUUUGCUGGUGGAAAACAAUGUGACACGGUGCGCCGGGCUCUGCCGUGCGAUAAACACGCGUCUCCUCUGAGGACAAGGAAGAAACGGGCGCGCGAACUCUUGCAUAUGAGUUUAAUUUUUUGAGAGAAACCUUCAUAAAGGGCUAAAUAAGAUCUAUACAUACAGAAAGUUUUUACUUCUUCUGCACUUGAGACACAACUAAACUUGUCUGUCUGUUCUUGUGUAUUCCAGUAGGAGCCUAUCAGAGGACUGCAUUGAUUUGAAGCAAAUUCUUCAUUAACAAGGUGUCAGUGAUAUUCUGUCCUAUUUUAUGUGACUGAUGAGCACUUCAGGGAUAUAGCUGUGGCUUGGCAUAAAAAUAUACGACCUUGACUUGUUCUGAGGCACGCAGUUAACUGGUCAAUAGGAAAUCAUUACGCAAUGUAAUCCUGUACAGUCACAGGGACAUUAUGUUCCCAAACAGAAAGAAGUGAAAGCUGAAAAAUAAAAUGAUUUUUCACUAUUGGAAUGUUCAAAGAAACUCUGUGUUUCCAUUCCAUUCUGAAUGCCCUUUGUUGACAAGUUGUACAUAAAUUUAUAUGAUCAGCCAAUCUUUCAAGGUGGUCAAUGGAGCAGAUGCAAUGAUGCAUCAGGUAUUUUAGUAAUGCGAUUCUGGCAAGUUCAGUUGAAAGGCUUUUUACCUUUGUGGUGUAACUUUUUGAUCAUCUCAAAGGAGUUUGCUUCAAUUUUGCAAGAAGAGUAACUUGUUUUAAGAAUUGGAGCCCUUAACAGCUGUUUUUUGCAUAACGUAAAUAAUGUGAAUUUUGGAGUACUGGAUUAAGAUUUCAUUUCUGUUUUCUGUGUGAAAUGGCUGGCACUGAAAUAUUUUAAAACUUCUUGAAAAAAGUAUAUUAAAAACUCAAUUUUGAGAUACAAAUCAUACAUACAGUUUUGAAAUAGAGUACAUUGAAUUUGUUCAGUAUGCCUCUCAGAAUGACAGAAUUAUAUGUCAUGGUAGACGUAAGUGAUCUGAAAUAAAUGGAGUUCCUGACACCAUGUCAUCUUUUGUAGCUGAAUUAUAUUUAAAUUUGCUGCACUCAAAAGUUAUGGCAAAUAGAAAUAUACAAGUAUGGACAAUGUACUUUUUUAAAAAAUUCCCUCCACUUAUAUGCCUCUCUUCAGAUGGCAUCAGUGAUUCUGAUUUUUAAUUUCCUUUUCAAACUACUAUAUCAGUCAAACAAAAAUAGAAAUGAAUCUUUUCCCAUAUGCUGAUUGUCACCAUCUUCAGAAUUUUAUUGUGUAUUUUGACUUUAGCUGGGCUUUUAGAUGACAUUUUGGAAUUUGUUCCAUAAAUGUGUUCUGUAGGCUUUUGCAGCUAUUUCAAAUGUUGCUUCUCACUGCCUUCUACAGAAGCAUUAGGUCUGGGCUUUUUCUUAGCAGAUGUUGGCUCAAGAGAUUAUCAUGAGUUAAACCAACCCGUGAGAUUUAACUGCUUCACUGAGCAGGAAAAAUUGAGUGUUGUCCCUGGCCCAGAAGACACUGUGCUAACUCUUGAGCUGCAGAAGUGUUAUAAUCUCAUAGUUUGUAAUUUUAUCCAGAGAUUUUCCUAAAACAUUUGAAAAAUUUUAGUUUCUUUUCUCCAGUAUUAUGCUACAUAUCAUUUUCUUCUGAAUGAAAAUAUCAAGUGCAUUCUAAGAAGCAAUUCAUUGCCCUGAAUCACAGUCUUUCAAAUGUUUGACAUUGGUAUGCUGUGUAUAGGUUUAUAUUAUGUUUGUAUGCAAGUUUCCCUCUGUUUAUAUAUUCUAUAUGCAUGCAGUUGCAGGGUAGAGGCACAUAGCUAUAGCUAUAUAGUUACCUAUGCUCAAUAUUGCAUUGAGUUGUUAAACUAGUUCCAUUUAUACAUUUUAAGGAGUCCAUAUUAAAAAAAUGAAAUGGAAUCUUGUUCCUGCAAGUUCAUGGAUUCACCCAGUAGAAUUUGUUUAUAUUCCCACAUGUUGUGGUGUUUGUAAUCUGUGCAGAGGAAUGCAUAAUUUUUUCUGGCUUCAAAAAGUCAUGCAGUGCAAGAAGUUGGGUGUGUGCAGAUUGUUUAUCUAAAAACACUUGUCCAAACUCUUUGCUUUGCCUUUGAUUCUAGAAUCUAAACAAAGAAUUUGGUCAGAUGUUAAACACAUGCAUAAUUAGCCUC